rnacentral:rRNA from 1 species
AUUGAACGCUGGCGGCAUGCCCUACACAUGCAAGUCGAACGGCAGCGCGGGAGCAAUCCUGGCGGCGAGUGGCGAACGGGUGAGUAAUACAUCGGAACGUGCCCAAUCGUGGGGGAUAACGCAGCGAAAGCUGUGCUAAUACCGCAUACGAUCUACGGAUGAAAGCAGGGGAUCGCAAGACCUUGCGCGAAUGGAGCGGCCGAUGGCAGAUUAGGUAGUUGGUGAGGUAAAGGCUCACCAAGCCUUCGAUCUGUAGCUGGUCUGAGAGGACGACCAGCCACACUGGGACUGGGACACGGCCCAGACUCCUACGGGAGGCAGCAGUGGGGAAUUUUGGACAAUGGGCGAAAGCCUGAUCCAGCCAUGCCGCGUGCAGGAUGAAGGCCUUCGGGUUGUAAACUGCUUUUGUACGGAACGAAACGGUCUUUUCUAAUAAAGAAGGCUAAUGACGGUACCGUAAGAAUAAGCACCGGCUAACUACGUG